rnacentral:rRNA from 1 species
GAGUUUGAUCCUGGCUCAGGAUGAACGCUAGCGGGAGGCUUAACACAUGCAAGUCGAGGGGCAGCACGAUGUAGCAAUACGUUGGUGGCGACCGGCGCACGGGUGAGUAACGCGUAUGCAACCUACCCUGUACUGGGGGAUAGCCCGGAGAAAUUCGGAUUAAUACCCCAUAAAGAUAUUUUAAGGCAUCUUUUAAUAUUUAAAGUUUCGACGGUACGGGAUGGGCAUGCGUGACAUUAGCUAGUUGGUAGGGUAACGGCCUACCAAGGCUACGAUGUCUAGGGGUCCUGAGAGGGUGAUCCCCCACACUGGUACUGAGACACGGACCAGACUCCUACGGGAGGCAGCAGUGAGGAAUAUUGGUCAAUGGGCGGGAGCCUGAACCAGCCAUCCCGCGUGCAGGAAGAAUGCCCUAUGGGUUGUAAACUGCUUUUUCGCAUGAAGAACAUCCCGAACGUGUUCGGGACUGACGGUAAUGCGUGAAUAAGCACCGGCUAACUCCGUGCCAGCAGCCGCGGUAAUACGGAGGGUGCAAGCGUUAUCCGGAUUUAUUGGGUUUAAAGGGUGCGUAG